GGGAUGUGAUGAGCGGUAACAGCUCGCAAAUUUCACUGUGAGAGGGGUGUCCGCCCCAACUAAGCCUGUUACGACAAUGGGGCACCCCAGUGAUUUACCAUCUGAUCCC